GGUUGACCUCGGAUCAGGUAGGGAUACCCGCUGAACUUAAGCAUAUCAAUAAGGCGGAGGA
rnacentral:rRNA from 3 species